AUUGAACGCUGGCGGCAGGCCUAACACAUGCAAGUCGAGCGGAGCGGCGGACGGGUGAGUACUGCCUAGGAAUCUGCCUGGUAGUGGGGGAUACCGUCCGGAAACGGGCGCUCAUCUCGCAUAAUAUCAGAUCCGCCUCGGUCGGCUUAGCUAGUUGGUGGGGUAAAGGCCUACCAAGUCGACGAUCCGUAACGGGUCUGAGAGGAUGAUCAGUCACACUGGAACUGAGAAACGGUCCAGACUCCUACGGGAGGCAGCAGUGGGGAAUAUUGGACAAUGGGCGAAAGCCUGAUCCAGCCAUGCCGCGUGUGUGAAGAAGGUCUUCGGAGUGUAAAGCACUUUAAGUUGGGAGGCGUUACCAACAGAAUAAGCACCGGCUAACUUCGUGCCAGCAGCCGCGGUAAUAC
rnacentral:rRNA from 1 species